rnacentral:rRNA from 1 species
CAAUAGCGUAUAUUAAAGUUGUUGCAGUUAAAAAGCUCGUAGUUGGAUUUCUGGUUGAAGCGACCGGUCGGGCGUUGAUUCGUCUGCACUGGAGUCGGUUUUGGCCAUCCUCUAGGAAAGUGCGUCUGGUAUUAAGUUAUCGGGCGUAUGAUCCUGGUCUUUUACUGUGAAAAAAUUAGAGUGUUUAAAGCAGGCCUUCGCCUUGAAUACAUUAGCAUGGAAUAAUAAGAUAGGACUUUGGUCUAUUUUGUUGGUUUGCAGACCGAAGUAAUGAUUAAUAGGGAUAGUUGGGGGUAUUCAUAUUCCGAUGUCAGAGGUGAAAUUCUUAGAUUUUCGGAAGAUAAACUUAUGCGAAAGCAUUUACCAAGGAUGUUUUCAUUAA